rnacentral:rRNA from 1 species
UCGACCUGAGGUCAGGCAAGAACACCCGCUGAACUUAAGCAUAUCAAUAAGCGGAGGAAAAGAAACUAACUAGGAUUCCCUUAGUAGCGGCGAGCGAACCGGGAUGAGCCCAACUUGUAAAUCAUUAGCCCUCGGCUAAUUGAAUUGUAGUCUCAAGAUGCGAUCUCUGCAGCUAGCAGUGCCCAAUUUUCCUUGGAAAAGGGAGUCAGAGAGGGUGAGAACCCCGUCGGCACUUGCCUCAGCUGCUCCACGAGGCGUUUUCUCAGAGUCGGGUUGCUUGGGAAUGCAGCCCUAAGUAGGUGGUAAAUCCCAUCUAAGGCUAAAUACUGACGGGAGACCGAUAGCGAACAAGUACCGUGAGGGAAAGAUGAAAAGAACUUUGAAAAGAGAGUCAAAAGUGCUUGAAAUUGUUGAGGGGGAAGGAAUUGGAAGCCGUUUGUGCACCCGGGCUUAAGUGGGCAACUCUGCCCAUUGUACGCCUUGGGUGCCGGUCAGCAUCGGCUACUGGACCG